AACGAACGCUGGCGGCAUGCCUAACACAUGCAAGUCGAACGAGACCUUCGGGUCUAGUGGCGCACGGGUGCGUAACGCGUGGGAACCUGCCCUUAGGUUCGGAAUAACUCCCCGAAAGGGGUGCUAAUACCGGAUAAUGUCUUCGGACCAAAGAUUUAUCGCCUUUGGAUGGGCCCGCGUUGGAUUAGCUAGUUGGUAGGGUAAAAGCCUACCAAGGCGACGAUCCAUAGCUGGUCUGAGAGGAUGAUCAGCCACACUGGGACUGAGACACGGCCCAGACUCCUACGGGAGGCAGCAGUGGGGAAUAUUGGACACUGGGCGAAAGCCUGAUCCAGCAAUGCCGCGUGAGUGAUGAAGGCCUUAGGGUUGUAAAGCUCUUUUACCCGGGAUGAUAAUGACAGGGCCGGGAGAAUAAGCUCCGGCGAACUCCGU
rnacentral:rRNA from 1 species